rnacentral:rRNA from 1 species
UGAUGUUAGCGGCGGACGGGUGAGUAACACGUGGAUAACCUACCUAUAAGACUGGGAUAACUUCGGGAAACCGGAGCUAAUACCGGAUAAUAUUUUGAACCGCAUGGUUCAAAAGUGAAAGACGGUCUUGCUGUCACUUAUAGAUGGAUCCGCGCUGCAUUAGCUAGUUGGUAAGGUAACGGCUUACCAAGGCAACGAUGCAUAGCCGACCUGAGAGGGUGAUCGGCCACACUGGAACUGAGACACGGUCCAGACUCCUACGGGAGGCAGCAGUAGGGAAUCUUCCGCAAUGGGCGAAAGCCUGACGGAGCAACGCCGCGUGAGUGAUGAAGGUCUUCGGAUCGUAAAACUCUGUUAUUAGGGAAGAACAUAUGUGUAAGUAACUGUGCACAUCUUGACGGUACCUAAUCAGAAAGCCACGGCUAACUACGUGCCAGCAGCCGCGGUAAUACGUAGGUGGCAAGCGUUAUCCGGAAUUAUUGGGCGUAAAGCGCGCGUAGGCGGUUUUUUAAGUCUGAUGUGAAAGCCCACGGCUCAACCGUGGAGGGUCAUUGGAAACUGGAAAACUUGAGUGCAGAAGAGGAAAGUGGAAUUCCAUGUGUAGCGGUGAAAUGCGCAGAGAUAUGGAGGAACACCAGUGGCGAAGGCGACUUUCUGGUCUGUAACUGACGCUGAUGUGCGAAAGCGUGGGGAUCAAACAGGAUUAGAUACCCUGGUAGUCCACGCCGUAAACGAUGAGUGCU